rnacentral:rRNA from 1 species
CACGUAGGGGACGAGCGUUGUCCGGAAUCAUUGGGCGUAAAGCGCGCGUAGGCGGCCCGGAAAGUCGGAUGUGAAAUCCCGGGGCUCAACCCCGGGCCUGCAUCCGAUACUCCCGGGCUGGAGGCAGGUAGGGGAGAUCGGAAUUCCUGGUGUAGCGGUGAAAUGCGCAGAUAUCAGGAAGAACACCUAUGGCGAAAGCAGCUCUCUGGGACGGUACUGACGCUGAGACGCGAAAGCGUGGGGAGCGAACAGG